UACGUAGGUGGCAAGCGUUGUCCGGAUUUACUGGGCGUAAAGAGCGCGCAGGCGGCCAAGUCAGUCGAAUGUGAAAGCCCCCGGCUUAACUGGGGAGGGUCAUUCGAUACUGCUCGGCUCGAAGACAGGAGAGGGAAGCGGAAUUCCCGGUGUAGUGGUGAAAUGACGUAGAUAUCGGGAGGAACACCAGUGGCGAAGGCGGCUUUCUGGCCUGUUCUUGACGCUGAGGCGCGAAAGCUAGGGGAGCAAACGGG
rnacentral:rRNA from 1 species